rnacentral:rRNA from 1 species
AGAGCGAACGCUGGCGGCAGGCUUAACACAUGCAAGUCGAGCGGGCGUAGCAAUACGUCAGCGGCAGACGGGUGAGUAACGCGUGGGAACAUACCUUUUGGUUCGGAACAACCCAGGGAAACUUGGGCUAAUACCGGAUAAGCCCUUACGGGGAAAGAUUUAUCGCCGAAAGAUUGGCCCGCGUCUGAUUAGCUAGUUGGUGAGGUAACGGCUCACCAAGGCGACGAUCAGUAGCUGGUCUGAGAGGAUGAUCAGCCACAUUGGGACUGAGACACGGCCCAAACUCCUACGGGAGGCAGCAGUGGGGAAUAUUGGACAAUGGGCGCAAGCCUGAUCCAGCCAUGCCGCGUGAGUGAUGAAGGCCCUAGGGUUGUAAAGCUCUUUUGUGCGGGAAGAUAAUGACGGUACCGCAAGAAUAACGCCCCGGCUAACUUCGUGCCAGCAGCCGC